rnacentral:rRNA from 1 species
CCUACGGGGUGCAGCAGUGGGGAAUAUUGGACAAUGGGGGGAACCCUGAUCCAGCGACGCCGCGUGAGUGAAGAAGUAUUUCGGUAUGUAAAGCUCUAUCAGCAGGGAAGAAAAUGACGGUACCUGACUAAGAAGCCCCGGCUAACUACGUGCCAGCAGCCGCGGUAAUACGUAGGGGGCAAGCGUUAUCCGGAUUUACUGGGUGUAAAGGGAGCGUAGACGGCAGCACAAGUCUGGAGUGAAAUGCCGGGGCUUAACCCCGGAACUGCUUUGGAAACUGUGCAGCUAGAGUGCAGGAGAGGUAAGUGGAAUUCCUAGUGUAGCGGUGAAAUGCGUAGAUAUUAGGAGGAACACCAGUGGCGAAGGCGGCUUACUGGACUGUAACUGACGUUGAGGCUCGAAAGCGUGGGGAGCAAACAGGAUUAGAUACCCGUGUAGUC